GACGAACCGUGCGAACGUUGUUCGGAAUCACUGGGCUUAAAAGGGCGCGUAGCGGACCGCCAAGUCGGGGGUGAAAUCUUUCGGCCCAACCGGAAAAGCGCUUCCGAUACUGGCGGCCUCGAGGGAGGUAGGGGUCGGCGGAACUGGUGGUGGGAGCGGUGAAAUGACGGUAGAUAUCACUAGGAACGCCGGUGGCGAAAGCGGCCGACUGGACCUCUCUG
rnacentral:rRNA from 1 species